CAAAGGUAGAGUAAUCACUUGUCUCCUAAAUAGAGACCCGUAUGAACGGCUAAAUGAAGACUAAACUGUCUCCUUUGACUAAUCAGUGAAACUGAUCUAUCAGUACAAAAGCUGAUAUAAAACCAUAAGACGAGAAGACCCUGUGGAGCUUUAAAUUUACAACCAAGUAUAAACAACAAUACAAUAACACCAUGGUUAGCAAUUUUAAGUUGGGGCGACUUCGGAAUAAAACUAAACUUCCGAGCAUAUAGAAAGUCAAUCUAAUUAAGGCCCACACGCCAAAGUAAAAAUUGACCCAGUAAUACUGAUCAACGAACCAAGUUACCCCAGGGAUAACAGCGCUAUCUUCUUCAAGAGUCCAUAUCGACAAGAAGGUUUACGACCUCGAUGUUGGAUCAGGACACCCAAAUGGUGCAGCCGCUAUUAAAGGUUCGUUUGUUCAACGAUUAAUAGU
rnacentral:rRNA from 1 species